rnacentral:rRNA from 1 species
GACGAACGCUGGCGGCGUGCUUAACACAUGCAAGUCGAACGGUGAAGGGACCGGUUUUUGCUGGUUCUGGAUGAGUGGCGAACGGGUGAGUAACACGUGAGUAACCUGCCCCCUUCUUCUGGAUAACCGCAUGAAAGUGUGGCUAAUACGGGAUAUUCUGCGCCUGCUGCAUGGUGGGUGUGGGAAAGAUAUUGUUUCGGUGGGGGAUGGGCUCGCGGCCUAUCAGCUUGUUGGUGGGGUGAUGGCCUACCAAGGCGGCGACGGGUAGCCGGCCUGAGAGGGUGGACGGUCACACUGGGACUGAGACACGGCCCAGACUCCUACGGGAGGCAGCAGUGGGGAAUAUUGCACAAUGGGCGCAAGCCUGAUGCAGCGACGCCGCGUGAGGGAUGGAGGCCUUCGGGUUGUAAACCUCUUUCGCCAGUGAAGCAGGCCUGUCCCUUUUGUGGGUGGGUUGACGGUAGCUGGAUAAGAAGCGCCGGCUAACUACGUG